UACGUAGGGGCCGAGCGUUUGUCCGGAGUUAUUGGGCGUAAAGCGCGCGCAGGCGGCUUCGCGCGCCCGACGUGAAAGCCCCCGGCUUAACCGGGGAGAGUCGUUGGGGACGGCGGAGCUUGAGGGCGGGAGAGGUCGGUGGAAUUCCCGGUGUAGUGGUGAAAUGCGCAGAUAUCAGGAGGAACACCGGUGGCGAAGGCGGGUCUCUGGGGCCGAUACUGACGCUGGAGGAGCGAAAGCGUGGGGAGCGAACAGG
rnacentral:rRNA from 1 species